rnacentral:lncRNA from 1 species
GGAAUUGGACGAACGCUCUUCUACUCAGCUACUUGGACGUGCUCUCAAGGUCUCAGCUCAUGAGCCUCCCACUCUUCCUUGUGAAGCAGCAAAUGCAACAUACCUAAAGGUGAAUAGAGUAUUUAUUUGUACUAUAAAUGUCAUAAGAAAAAGUUGACUAUAGGCUGGUUAUAGUUUACCCAUGAUUCAUCAUGUCAUUCUUAGGUGCAUAAACUAAGGUGUACAUAAUUUAUUUUGUGGAGGAAGAAUAUGGUAACUUAAACAGUAUUACAUGUGAUGCCAUGUCGCUGCGGGGAAGCAUUCACACACUCACGUUUGGCAUGUUCCAUGCAGCAGACCUGUCGUCAUUGGUUGAGGUAAGCAACGUUUCUUGCUUUCUCAUAUAUUUAUUUUUAUUCACUAAGUUCAACCUUGUACUUGGGAAGUCAAAUCACUAUUUCUGUUCAAGGUUGUCAUGAAAAUUUCAAAAAUGGAAUGGAAUGAAUUAACAGUGCGCUUCUGCAUUUUUGACUUAGAUGUUGCAAGGCUGCGAGGUGAGGGCAGACGGUGCACGUCAUCACUGCCGCUCUCUCCUGUCUCUGUUUUUCUCUUUGCUGAAGAAAUUUCACACAACCAGGAGCAGUGAAUAGGGUUACAAUUUGUGAAUUGAGAUGUUUGUGCAGUUGCUGCACUUUUAUAACCACUUCUGAUUAGUUGCGGAUGCAAUGAUGUUUAGCUGAUGUGGAAUAUUUUUGACUAGAAUCCUUGAUUGUGUAUUUGUUCCAUUUUUAAAUUUAUUUAUUCAUGCUUCAUACACACCAGAUACAAUUUCAUCUAAGGAAAAUCAAGGUCUGAUUGAAAAAAAUUAAGUUCUUGGCACAAUUAACAUUGGAUGACCCGCCUUGCUAUAUUAUGAACAUGCUUGCUUUAAAUUAUUAGUUAAUUGAAAUAAUUUAUAAUUUUAUCUCUGUAGUUGCAUCCUCCAUAUUUUGAUAAAAUUUACAAAUGUCAGAUUUUGUUCAUUAGCAUAGGUUCAUGAAUGCCGAGCGCAUCCAAUCGACAUCGUCAAACUUUGGGCUCUAGCACUUUGCUCUGUUUGUGAGGAUGGAUCAAUAGUGCGCUCACCAAGUGGCAGCAGUAGAAGCAACACUCAAAAGGAGCGACACAACAAAGACGGAGGACGACAUCGAGCGGAGGUGAGCCACUACCAAUUUAUCAUGAAAGACUUCUGUCUCAUGUGUUACGUCUGAUUGUUUGAACUUUGUUGUUAUCAAGCUAAAGGUCUUGUGGUUUGCGCGGAUGAUUUUCUUUCAUACCCUAAAAUAUUUUCCCUUAAUAUUUCUGAAAUUAUUAUUUGUACAUUAUUUUCUGAUAUUUACCUCCUAUUUUGCAGGCUAUAUAGAAUGAUUGCAGGUUUUAAUCAAGAAGUCCUCAAUAGGUGGACUGGCUCAAAAUGGAGAAGCAUGCUGGUAGCUUUUGUGUUGAUUGUAUUAAGCAUUUAAGUUUGUAGCAAUUCAUAACGUCAAAUCAUUGGGAUGCUUUGUAAUAUUUUAGAAGACUGUGUUUCUUUGCUGGAUCUAGCGUGCUGUCUAUAGAUGUCCUUACCUACUUCCUUCUCACAUAUGGAAUGGGUUUUCGGAUAGCCUAGACAUACGGAGACAAUUUGGGGGUGUCGAUUCUCUCUCUCUCUCUCUCUCUCUCUCUCUCUCAUAGAAUAAUGAACAACCGAUAAGACUAAUAUUAUAUACCUUCUCAUCAGUCCUACAGUGCAUUAUUUGACUUUUGUGCUAAUACAAGGAGAAAGUAUGUUG